GAUCCGCAAGGUGUUGGACCAGGGAAUUCAGCCCGCGCCCCCGAGGCGCGGGUGCACUUUCUCCGGGACGACAGCCACGACCGGGACCGCGGCUGCUCGAGGUGGUGCUAAGGUCUCCAGGCGCCUCGCACGCAGGGGGAUUACAGCGCACCGUCCUGCGAGUGUGUACGUCACGGGCCCGAUGACGCAUGUCGCGUGCCCACGGCGCCGGGUCGUCUUUGCGCGCCCGACUGUGGCGCCACUGCUGUUCUCGGCAGUGCGUCGCAAACGCACUUGUCGAUCUUGCCCUGGUGGCCUCGGUGCGCUGAGGGUCGGUGGCGAAUCAGUCGGCACUCCACACGACCCUUCUUGAGGCAAGGACCAUGGAGUCUAACAUGUGCGCGAGUCAUGGGGACCAUCGAAGGCGCAAUGGAAGAGAAGGCCGCCCUCGGCUGGCUGAAGAAGUAUCCCGUCGUCACUGGCGAAUGCACUGCCGUUCUGUCUCGAUAGCGGCGCUGUGGUUCGCGACCCUCGUUCGUCUACGAUUCGGAGUAAGAGUGUACACAUUGGUACCCGAAAGUUUGUGAAUUAUGCCCGAGCAGGACGAAGUCAGAGGAAACUCUGAUGUAGGUCCUCAGCGAUUCUGACGUGCAAAUCGAUCGUUAAACUUGGGUAUAGGGGUGAAAGACUA
rnacentral:rRNA from 1 species